rnacentral:rRNA from 1 species
AGAGCAUACGGGGGAUGCCUUGGCGUCAAGUGCCGAUGAAGGACGUGGUACACUGCGAAAAGCGUGGAUGAGGCGUGUGCAGCCGUAAUAAUCCACGAUGUCCGAAUGGGGAAACCCGGCAGGCGUGAGCCUGUCACCCCGCGAGGGGAGGGAACCGGGCGAACUGAAACAUCUCAGUAGCCCGAGGAAAAGAGAAGGAUUCUGCGAGUAGUGGCGAGCGAAAGCGGAAGAGCCCAAACCAGCGCAAGCUGGGGUUGUAGGACCUCGAGUAGCGUCACAAACUGAACCGAACGGCUUGGGAAAGCCGACCAGAGGGGGUGAGAGUCCCGUAGGUGAAGGGGAGUGAUGUGAGGGGUAUCCUGAGUACCACAAGGCACGCUAACCUGGUGGGAAGCUGGGACGACCACGUUCCAAGGCUAAAUACACUUGACGACCGAUAGCGCAAGAGUACAGUGAUGGAAAGGUGAAAAGAACCCCGG